rnacentral:rRNA from 1 species
GAUGAACGCUAGCGGCAGGCUUAACACAUGCAAGUCGAGGGGCAGCACGUCUUCGGAUGGUGGCGACCGGCGCACGGGUGAGUAGCGCGUAUGCAAUCUACCUUUUACAGGGGCAUAGCCCGGGGAAACCCGGAUUAAUAUCCUAUAGUACCAUUAUAUAGCAUUAUAUUAUGGUUAAAGUUUCGGCGGUAAAAGAUGAGCAUGCGUCCUAUUAGCUUGAUGGUAAGGUAACGGCUUACCAUGGCUAUGAUAGGUAGGGGUCCUGAGAGGGAGACCCCCCACACUGGUACUGAGACACGGACCAGACUCCUACGGGAGGCAGCAGUGAGGAAUAUUGGACAAUGGGCGAGAGCCUGAUCCAGCCAUGCCGCGUGCAGGAAGACGGCCCUAUGGGUUGUAAACUGCUUUUAUACGGGAAGAAACACCCCUUCGUGAAGGGACUUGACGGUACCGUAUGAAUAAGGAUCGGCUAACUCCGUGCCAGCAGCCGCAGUAAUACGG